rnacentral:rRNA from 1 species
AGUGAACGCUGGCGGUAGGCCUAACACAUGCAAGUCGAACGGCAGCACAGUAAGAGCUUGCUCUUACGGGUGGCGAGUGGCGGACGGGUGAGGAAUACAUCGGAAUCUACUUUUUCGUGGGGGAUAACGUAGGGAAACUUACGCUAAUACCGCAUACGACCUACGGGUGAAAGCAGGGGAUCUUCGGACCUUGCGCGAUUGAAUGAGCCGAUGUCGGAUUAGCUAGUUGGCGGGUUAAAGGCCCACCAAGGCGACGAUCCGUAGCUGGUCUGAGAGGAUGAUAAGCGACACUGGAACUGAGACACGGUCCAGACUCCUACGGGAGGCAGCAGUGGGGAAUAUUGGACAAUGGGCGCAAGCCUGAUCCAGCGAUACCGCGUGGGUGAAGAAGGCCUUCGGGUUGUAAAGCCCUUUUGUUGGGAAAGAAAAGCAGCAGGUUAAUACCCCGCUGUUCUGACGGUACCCAAAGAAUAAGCACCGGCUAACUUCGUG